ACCUUUCUCUUGGGCUAUGGAGGUGUCCAGUGGACAGGGGUCAAAGGAAGUCAAGACGGCAUUGUAUCUCAGUGACAAGCCUCUAGUAGACCACAUUAGUUUUGACUUAGAUGUACCCCUAGAUGAGUCUGUGAAUGGAGAAAGUGAGAAGAUGUCUUACUACAGGACCAUGGUGAGCUGUAGUCUCAUCAGCUUCACUUAACACUGAUAGAGGCUGUAAGAUCAGCCUCCUGAUCAGCCCCAGAGAGGGAGGCUAGCAGAUGGGCACUCGUUUCAGGAUUCUGUUCCGUAAUCUGUCUUUUUAUAUGGUAUUUAACUUGACUGUUUAAUUCAGUUAAUUACACCACCUUUAAUACAUAG